AUUGAACGCUGGCGGCAUGCCUUACACAUGCAAGUCGAACGGCAGCAUGGAGAGCUUGCUCUCUGAUGGCGAGUGGCGAACGGGUGAGUAAAGCAUCGGAACGUACCGUGUAAUGGGGGAUAACGUAGCGAAAGUUACGCUAAUACCGCAUACGACCUGAGGGUGAAAGCAGGGGAUCGCAAGACCUUGCGUUAUACGAGCGGCCGAUGUCAGAUUAGCUAGUUGGUGAGGUAAAGGCUCACCAAGGCGACGAUCUGUAGCGGGUCUGAGAGGAUGAUCCGCCACACUGGAACUGAGACACGGCCCAGACUCCUACGGGAGGCAGCAGUGGGGAAUUUUGGACAAUGGGGGCAACCCUGAUCCAGCCAUGCCGCGUGAGUGAAGAAGGCCUUCGGGUUGUAAAGCUCUUUCGGCCGGGAAGAAAUCGCACAGGCUAAUACUCUGUGUGGAUGACGGUACCGGCAUAAGAAGCACCGGCUAACUACGUGCCAGCCGCCGCGGUAA
rnacentral:rRNA from 1 species